GAUGAACGCUGGCGGCGUGCCUAAUACAUGCAAGUCGAGCGAACAGACGAGGAGCUUGCUCCUUUGACGUUAGCGGCGGACGGGUGAGUAACACGUGGGUAACCUACCUAUAAGACUGGGAUAACUUCGGGAAACCGGAGCUAAUACCGGAUAAUAUUUCGAACCGCAUGGUUCGAUAGUGAAAGAUGGCUUUGCUAUCACUUAUAGAUGGACCUGCGCCGUAUUAGCUAGUUGGUAAGGUAACGGCUUACCAAGGCAACCAUACGUAGCCGACCUGAGAGGGUGAUCGGCCACACUGGAACUGAGACACGGUCCAGACUCCUACGGGAGGCAGCAGUAGGGAAUCUUCCGCAAAGGGCGAAAGCCUGACGGAGCAACGCCGCGUGAGUGAUGAAGGUCUUCGGAUCGUAAAACUCUGUUAUUAGGGAAGAACAAACGUGUAAGUAACUGUGCACGUCUUGACGGUACCUAAUCAGAAAGCCACGGCUAACUACGUG
rnacentral:rRNA from 1 species